rnacentral:rRNA from 1 species
UACGUAGGGAGCAAGCGUUGUCCGGAUUUACUGGGCGUAAAGGGCGCGUAGGCGGCAAAUUAAGUCAGCUGUGAAAUCUCCGAGCUUAACUCGGAACUGUCAGCUGAUACUGAUCUGCUAGAGUGCGGAAGGGGCAAUCGGAAUUCUUGGUGUAGCGGUGAAAUGCGUAGAUAUCAAGAGGAACACCUGAGGUGAAGACGGGUUGCUGGGCCGACACUGACGCUGAGUGCGCGAAAGCCAGGGGAGCAAACGGG